AUUGAACGCUGGCGGCAUGCCUUACACAUGCAAGUCGAACGGCAGCAUGAUCUAGCUUGCUAGAUUGAUGGCGAGUGGCGAACGGGUGAGUAAUACAUCGGAACGUGCCCUGUAGUGGGGGUUAACUAGUCGAAAGAUUAGCUAACACCGCAUACGACCUGAGGGUGAAAGUGGGGGACCGCAAGGCCUCAUGCUAUAGGAGCGGCCGAUGUCUGAUUAGCUAGUUGGUGAGGUAAAGGCUCACCAAGGCGACGAUCAGUAGCUGGUCUGAGAGGACGAUCAGCCACACUGGGACUGAGACACGGCCCAGACUCCUACGGGAGGCAGCAGUGGGGAAUUUUGGACAGUGGGGGCAACCCUGAUCCAGCAAUGCCGCGUGUGUGAAGAAGGCCUUCGGGUUGUAAAGCACUUUUGUCCGGAGAGAAAUCGCACUUACUAAUAUUAGGUGUGGAUGACGGUACCGGAAGAAUAAGGACCGGCUAACUACGUGCCAGCCGCCGCGGUAAUAC
rnacentral:rRNA from 1 species